AAACUUGUCUCACCACUCAGUUGUCUCCUUUCUGACUCAUGGAGCCAGCCUCUCGGGGUGUGUGACUGCUUAAAGCACAAAAAGCAAAAGUCAAAUAGCCUUGAUUUCUGGGAGUCAGUGCCUUGGACUCCUUUCUCUCAGGACAGGGACUAAUUCGACAGUUCGGCUCUAAGUACCUAGGAAGGAAAUGCCACUGAACUGACAGUUACUAAAUGGCUGUCAGGACAAGGUUUCUGGCAGACAUGACAACCUCAACAGAAGGGGGUGAUACUGUAAGGACAGAAGUCAGAAUGUGGGAAGGUCCCCUGAGGCCAGCACAGAGGAAGAUGCAAUGCUGGGACUAGCUCUGGAGCCCUCACUGGCUCUACAGAGUUAAUCCAGAGUGUGCUGAGUCUAGUUGAUACGGACAGUGCUUGCUUGGUACUCCAGAGAAUUUCCAUGUCUCUCUUCAGUUGGUACAAAGUAAAACAAAACUUAAAAAAAAAAAUUGUCCCAACCCCCACCAGGCAUGGUAGCACUACUGUAAUCACCAGCAUUUAGAAACCAGAGCCAGGUGACCUAGGCCAGCACGCUAUCUCAAAAGAACACAGUGCAGAAGCUGCAUGUGAAGCAUCUAGAAGAAGGUCCCUGCAACCAUUCACACUGACCAUUUUAGUCUCUCAUGCAGCCCAGGCUGGAGGUUUCGAACUCUGUUCCUCCUGUCUCACCCUCCAGUGUAACCAAUACUUCUUGUGUGCUAGACAACACUCCACUCGCUGAGCCAUAUCACUAGCCAUCUGGCAGUUGUCGUUGUGUGUCUUGUUUGUUUGCUUUGUGUGUUUUUGUGUGUAUGUGGUUUUUUUUUUUUAUCAUGAGGAUGUCAUUUCCAAUGUACAAAUGUUGACAUUUAAAAUAAAAUGGGUGUCUAG
rnacentral:lncRNA from 1 species